rnacentral:rRNA from 1 species
CUACGGGUGGCAGCAGUGGGGAAUAUUGCACAAUGGGCGCAAGCCUGAUGCAGCCAUGCCGCGUGUAUGAAGAAGGCCUUCGGGUUGUAAAGUACUUUCAGCGGGGAGGAAGGGAGUAAAGUUAAUACCUUUGCUCAUUGACGUUACCCGCAGAAGAAGCACCGGCUAACUCCGUGCCAGCAGCCGCGGUAAUACGGAGGGUGCAAGCGUUAAUCGGAAUUACUGGGCGUAAAGCGCACGCAGGCGGUUUGUUAAGUCAGAUGUGAAAUCCCCGGGCUCAACCUGGGAACUGCAUCUGAUACUGGCAAGCUGGAGUCUCGUAGAGGGGGGUAGAAUUCCAGGUGUAGCGGUGAAAUGCGUAGAGAUCUGGAGGAAUACCGGUGGCGAAGGCGGCCCCCUGGACGAAGACUAACGCUCAGGUGCGAAAGCGUGGGGAGCAAACAGGAUUAGAUACCCGUAGUC